rnacentral:lncRNA from 1 species
AUGGUUGCCAUGACAGCAAUGAUGUUUAUCUCUCCGCCACCUACAUCCAGGGUCAGCUACCUCUGGGCUGCUGGCCAAGUCUGCCUGUUUCACAGGGCCCACAAGAGUCCUAGCAGUCGUCUCUGCUUGGAAUGUGCCCGGGCUCCAGGACGUCAGUGGUCAUGUGCUUCAUGGGACUGGGGGAUGAAUGGAGGACACAGCUUUGCCAACAACAGACAACACUGUUUCCAUAAGUGUGGCCCAAUUCAAUACACAGACACUGGCCCUCUCGGUGCAUGUCUCCAUGACUUCAUUCCCAGGAGCAGGAACUGGGACAGGCAGCUUGAACUGACUUCGUGAAGCCUGACAACUUGAGCACUCGAAAUUGUUUCAAGGAAUGGCGGAGCCCGGAUUGUGGUCUGCGAUGCUCAUGCUUCCUGGACUGUCUGAGCCAGCCCCCCGGAGGAGGCCUUUUCAAAAAGGAGUGGCAAGUAUCAUUUAGUGUUUGCUUAGUAGUUUUUGAUGCUAAACCCAUAAUUUCAACCAUUAUUUUUAACAAGGGCCCCUUUGCCAUCUAGCU